UACGGGGGGGGCAAGCGUUGUUCGGAAUUACUGGGCGUAAAGGGCUCGUAGGCGGCCAACUAAGUCGGAUGUGAAAUCCCCAGGCUUAACCUAGGAAUUGCAUCCGAUACUGGAUGGCUUGAAUCCGGGAGAGGGAUGCGGAAUUCCAGGUGUAGCGGUGAAAUGCGUAGAUAUCUGGAGGAACACCGGUGGCGAAGGCGGCAUCCUGGACCGGCAUUGACGCUGAGGAGCGAAAGCCAGGGGAGCAAACGGG
rnacentral:rRNA from 1 species